rnacentral:rRNA from 1 species
UACGUAGGGGGCAAGCGUUGUCCGGAUUUAUUGGGCGUAAAGAGCGUGUAGGCGGCCAGACAGGUCCGUUGUGAAAACUAGAGGCUUAACCUCGUAGACGUCGAUGGAAACCGUCUGGCUAGAGUCCGGAAGAGGAGAAUGGAAUUCCUGGUGUAGCGGUGAAAUGCGCAGAUAUCAGGAAGAACACCCGUGGCUAAGGCGGUUCUCUAGUACGGUACUGACGCCUGAGACGCGAAAGCGUGGGGAGCGAACAGG